rnacentral:rRNA from 1 species
GAUGAACGCUGGCGGCGUGCCUAAUACAUGCAAGUCGAGCGAACAGACGAGGCGCUUGCUCCUCUGACGUUAGCGGCGGACGGGUGAGUAACACGUGGAUAACCUACCUAUCAUACUGGUAUCACUUCGGGAAUCCGGAUCUAAUACCGGAUAAUAUACUGAACCGUAUGGUUCAAUAGAGAAAUACGGUUUUUCUGUCUCUUCUCGCUGCAUCCCCGCCGCAUUAGCUAGUUGGUAAGUUAACGGCUUAUCACGGCAACGAUGCGUGGACGACCUGAGAGGGGGAUCGGCCACACUGGAACUGAAACACGGUCCAGACUACUACGGGAGGCAGCAGUAGGGAAUGUUACGCAAUGGGCGAGAGCAUGACGGAGCAACGCCGCGUGAGUGAUGAAGGUCUUCGGAGCGUAAAACUCUGUUAUGAGGGAAGAACAAAUGUGUAAGGAGAUAUGCACGUAUUGACGGUAACGAAUCAGAAAGCAACGGCUAACUACGUG